AAUUGAACUUUCUAAAAUCAAAACGUCAUCAAAUAAAUGACGCAAAGCGAAGGGGCAAAAUCGGUAGACUUCUAUCUUCCCAUUGUAUAAGUUAGAAGAUUGCCUGUUUACAGGCAGUUCAGACGGGGUUGGAGUUGGGAUUUCGUCGGGUAGUGGUUGAAGGCGACGCUCUCAGUGUUAUUAAAGAAGUCCAAAACGAAGAAGAAGAUAGAUCAGUAUUAAGUUGUUAUAUUUCUGAUAUAAAAGUCUUUUAAGUAAAAUAUUUGACGGAUGCUGGUUCAAGAAAAUUUCUAGAACGGGAAAUGGAACGGCACAUGCAGUUGCAAGAGAGGGUUUGAAGCGAAAUGAAUCCACUUACCUAGAAGGCCGAAUGCCGAGGUCAGUGAUAAUGGCGGUGGAGGAGGAUGACAAGAGGCCUGGAUCUGCCAUAGAGAGGAAGAAAUUUCGGGAAUUUUUCGUUUUUGGCAGAGGAACAGUUUCAUUAUAGAGGAGUCUUGGAGGCGGGGGCUUUUAUGUCUUUUUGGGCUGAGUAGGAAUAGUCUAUUUGGAUUUGUAAUGUGUGUACAGAACAGGUUUUUUUGCAAAUGCUCAACUCAAAUCUGCCCAUUGUAUAAGUUUACCAUCUUUGGCAGCCGAAGGUAUUAUCUUUUCAUCAUUCAUUGUUGGGAAUCAAACCACUUUAUUAUAUGACAGUCCGAAAUUUGAAUUGCUUGUUUUGGAAUCUAAGCUCUCUUUUUUUUCUGUUGCAAUUUAAGCUUGAAUUUCAACUACAAUAUGCAGAUUUGAGAUGCGUACUGCGAUUUUGCAGUAUAAGAAACAGAGCACUAAAAGCAUAACACAAAAUUCUAAUCUUUAAACCCGGGCUAUAAAAAAAAAAAAACAGCCUUGUUUUAGUUAACAUAUUUCUAUUUUUACAGGCGAAAUUAGCACCAAAUCAGUAAUUCCCCAAAAGCCAAAAAGAAUGAAAAUAAACCAAAAUCCAUCUAUGGAUUUCACAGUUUAUCUCAAGUAUCACCAACAUUGAUCGGUUUCCCAUGUUCGUUUCGAAUAACCAGAAAACCCAGAAAACGUUGGACCGGCCAUCGAUUCGACGGAAACAGAAAAGGACCGCCUUGGCCUGAACAACAACGUUCGAUCAUAAUCCGCCCGUUUCUCAGGAUCCGAUAGCGUAGAGUAGGCUUCAUGUACUUUGAUGAACUCGUUGGCAGCGACGUCGUUUCGACCAUUAGCCGAGACAUCAGGGUGUAGAACGCGCGCCAGUCUCCGGUAAGCAGCCUUGAUUUCCUUACUCGUGGCGCCAAUCUGAAUCCCCAAUACCUCGUACAGUGACGAUGGGCAAGCAAUGUGGGAAACCGUUCUCUCACCCGUCGACGCACAAGCGGCGGAGACGCGAAGUUGCGGAAAAUGAACACGUGCCGGCAUGGAGCUCGGUUCUUUGAUGGAAACCUUAUGGCCCAUGAAAUGAGGAGAGGAAGAGGUGAAAGAAGCCAACGCAGAAGAUGCGGAAGCCAUGAUGGUUGACUGUUGGAUUUGCGGUUGAAGAAAUUAAAGUUGGGGAAAACAGGGACAUGGUUGAAGGGUAUUUAUAGAGUUAACUCAACCGGAGUUAGAUCGGUUGGGUUAACAAAAUUUCUACAGAUAGCUUAUCCAUACACAUAGAAUCCGUGCUGACUCAGCGAACCGUCGGCGUUUCUGAAACCCACAGGUUGCGUUGUCAAGCUGGCACUAACUCACUU
rnacentral:lncRNA from 1 species